GAUGAACGCUAGCUACAGGCUUAACACAUGCAAGUCGAGGGGUAACGAGAGGAAAGCUUGCUUUCCUUGUCGACGACCGGCGCACGGGUGAGUAACGCGUAUCCAACCUGCCCCCAACUAGGGAAUAACCUUGCGAAAGUAAGACUAAUACCCUAUAAUUUCCUCAGAUGUCAUCUGACGAGGAAUAAAGAUUUAUCGGUUGUGGAUGGGGAUGCGUCUGAUUAGCUUGUUGGCGGGGUAACGGCCCACCAAGGCAACGAUCAGUAGGGGUUCUGAGAGGAAGGUCCACCACAUUGGAACUGGGACACGGUCCAAACUCCUACGGGAGGCAGCAGUGAGGAAUAUUGGUCAAUGGGCGGAAGCCUGAACCAGCCAAGUAGCGUGCAGGAUGACGGCCCUAUGGGUUGUAAACUGCUUUUAUACAGGAAUAAAGUUAGCCACGUGUGGUUAUUUGUAGGUACUGUAUGAAUAAGGACCGGCUAAUUCCGUGCCAGCAGCCGCCGUAAUAC
rnacentral:rRNA from 1 species